AUGAACGCUGGCGGCGUGCCUAAUACAUGCAAGUAGAACGCUGAAGGAGGAGCUUGCUCUUCUGGAUGAGUUGCGAACGGGUGAGUAACGCGUAGGUAACCUGCCUGGUAGCGGGGGAUAACUAUUGGAAACGAUAGCUAAUACCGCAUGACAACAGUUAUUGCAUGAUAACUGUUUAAAAGGGGCAACUGCUCCACUACCAGAUGGACCUGCGUUGUAUUAGCUAGUUGGUGAGGUAACGGCUCACCAAGGCGACGAUACAUAGCCGACCUGAGAGGGUGAUCGGCCACACUGGGACGGAGACACGGCCCAGACUCCUACGGGAGGCAGCAGUAGGGAAUCUUCGGCAAUGGACGGAAGUCUGACCGAGCAAUGCCGCGUGAGUGAAGAAGGUUUUCGGAUCGUAAAGCUCUGUUGUAAGAGAAGAACGAGUGUGAGAGUGGAAAGUUCACACUGUGACGGUAUCUUACCAGAAAGGGACGGCUAACUACGUG
rnacentral:rRNA from 1 species